AUGGUGCUUCCAUGGAUCCCAGAGCUCUCAGGGUGCCAGGUCCUCCUCUCUGGGCCCAAGCCAUCGAUGACACUGAGGUGUCCCCGUGUCCCAAGGCUCCAAACGUCCCCAUCGUCACCCCAGCCCCGCUCAGGGCAGGAACUUCUCCCACAAAAUGUCCUUCAGAGGUUUCCCUGGAGAUGCCCGAAGGAGGCUGAGGCCCUGUGGGAAGCUUGGGUUGGAGCAGGGAGCUGGGUCCCCAUGGAGAGAGCGAUUCCAGAGCUGGAGAAAUCCUUGGAAUGCCCAACACUCCUGGAAGGUCUCCAUGGCACAGGAUCUCUUCCCAAAUCUUUUCUGCUCAGAUUUACCCCAAACACGCCCCAGAGCCGGCGGGACCUGUCCAGGCAGAACCUUGGAGCUUCCCACUGCUCCAAGGCACAUGUGAGGUUUCCAUGGAAAGGAAACCCUCCAAGAAAUAUCCCAGAAGAACUCUCCUGCAGGAUUGGAAGGAUAAGACCAAAAUCUUGGCUUUCCGAGGCAGAACUGGCCAAAUUCCUCACCCUGCAGCUUCAGGAGAAGGAUUUGAUGUUAAAUAUUGUUAAAUAUUCCACAUCCAACCACGGCAGAGCGGGAUUCAUCCGGAUCCGGAUCCAGCAGGAGGACAGGGGCUCCAAUCCCACCUGCCUGGAUGCAAACCCACGGCCAGGAGCACUCCUGGAAUGUCUCCAUGGCACAGGAUCUCUUCCCAAAUAAUUUCCAUUCUGAUUUAUCCCAAACACGCCCCAGAGCUGGUGGGGCCUGUCCAGGCAGAACCUUGGAGCUCCAAGCCACACGUGAGGUUUCCAUGGAAAGGAAACCCUCCAAGAAAUAUCCCAGAAGAACUCUCCUGCAGGAUUGGAAGGAUAAGACCAAAACCUUGGCUUUCCGAGGCAGAACUGGCCAAAUUCCUCACCCUGCAGCUUCAGGAGAAGGAUUUGAUGUUAAAUAUUGUUAAAUAUUCCACAUCCAACCACGGCAGAGCGGGAUUCAUCCGGAUCCGGAUCCAGCAGGAGGACAGGGGCUCCAAUCCCACCUGCCUGGAUGCAAACCCACGGCCAGGAGCCAGGGGAGGUAUUUUGGAAGUGUCCCCUCCCCUCAAUCUUGGAGUGACACAUCCUCUGAGUACAGAGAAUUUAAUCCCCUUUGGGAGCGCCGGAAUCGUGGCAAAAUCUGCUGAUAAAAAAAAAAACCCAAAACCUGGAAUUUACAUCCCGAAAAUGAAUGAAAUCCAUUUGGGAAGCGUGCCUGGAGCAGGGCACAGAGGGAAGCGGCUCAAGCCCCAGGGAUAAACACGGGCACGGGACCGCGGCAGAACCAGCCCGGAAAAUCCAUAAAUAAAUCCACAAAUAAAUCCACAAAUAAAUCCACAAAUCCCCGUGUGUGACUCAGCCCGAGCAUCCUCCAGGAUCCCUCGGCCGCGGCUGGGAACGAGGAUUUGUUGGGCAUCAUUAACGACCCGCUGGGAGCUCAUCAAAUCCCCGCGGCACGGACUCGCCCGGACGCUCCGGCGGCUCCGGCUCCGCGUUUUCCCGGAAUGUUCUCCCGGCGUGUGGAAUCCGGGCACGUCCUGACUCGCAGGUUCCUUCCCCCUCCAAAUAUUCCAGGAUAACCUGAGCUGGAUGAGCUCAGCCGAUGCUGCACCCCGUGGAGGCGGGAGCCGCGGUUUUCCAGGUUUUUUGGGAAUAACCACCUGGAUCGGGUGGAAAAGGGAGCCUGGGCAUCCCGGGUGGACACCGGGAUAAUCUGUGGGAUCUUUGGUGAGUGAGGUUGUCCUUCAAAGGUGCUGGGACAAGGAUCAGCCAACAACAGGACAGGAAAUGGUUUUUCCAGAGAAUCUCUGGAAUUCUGGAGACAUUUCCAGGAAUUCUCAUCCCUGGAAACGUCCCAGGCCAGGUUUGGACACGGUUGGAGCAAGCUGGGAUGGUGGGAGGUGUCCCAGAUCAUGGAACUGGGUGGGAUUUCAGGAAUUUUCCCAACCAAACCAUCCUGGAAUUCUAUGGAAGAACCGUUCACCAAAAUUCCAUGGAUUUCACCCAGAACGAGCAGCGAGGCUCAAGCCAGACACGGGGAUUUGGGAUGGGCACAGGGAUUUGG
rnacentral:lncRNA from 14 species